rnacentral:rRNA from 1 species
UACGAAGGGGGGCUAGCGUUGUUCGGAAUCACUGGGCGUAAAGCGCACGUAGGCGGAUUGUUAAGUCGGAGGUGAAAUCCCAGGGCUCAACCCUGGAACUGCCUUCGAUACUGGCUAUCUCGAGUCCGGGAGAGGUGAGUGGAACUGCGAGUGUAGAGGUGAAAUUCGUAGAUAUUCGCAAGAACACCAGUGGCGAAGGCGGCUCACUGGCCCGGUACUGACGCUGAGGCACGAAAGCGUGGGGAGCAAACAGG